rnacentral:rRNA from 1 species
GACGAACGCUGGCGGCGUGCUUAACACAUGCAAGUCGAACGAAGUGGCGAACGGGUGAGUAACGCGUAAUCAACCUGCCCUUCAGAGGGGGACAACAGUUGGAAACGACUGCUAAUACCGCAUACUGAAGGAGGGGAUUGCGACUGAUUAGCUCGUUGGAGGGGUAACGGCCCACCAAGGCGAUGAUCAGUAGCCGGGCUGAGAGGAUGAACGACCACCAUGGGACUGAGACACGGCCCAGACUCCUACGGGAGGCAGCAAGGGGGAAUCUUCCGAAAUGGACGAAAGUCUGACGGCGCAACGGCGCGUGAGUGAUGGAGGCCUUCGGGUUGUUAAGCUCUGUUAAUCGGGACGCGGUACCGGAAGAGGAAGCAACGGCUAACUACGUGCCAGCAGCCGCGGUAAUUC